AUUGAACGCUGGCGGCAUGCCUUACACAUGCAAGUCGAACGGUAACAGGUCUUCGGAUGCUGACGAGUGGCGAACGGGUGAGUAAUACAUCGGAACGUGCCUAGUAGUGGGGGAUAACUACUCGAAAGAGUGGCUAAUACCGCAUGAGAUCUACGGAUGAAAGCAGGGGAUCGCAAGACCUUGUGCUACUAGAGCGGCCGAUGGCAGAUUAGGUAGUUGGUGGGAUAAAAGCUUACCAAGCCUACUAUCUGUAACUGGUCUGAGAGGACGAUCAGCCACACUGGGACUGAGACACGGCCCAGACUCCUACGGGAGGCAGCAGUGGGGAAUUUUGGACAAUGGGCGCAAGCCUGAUCCAGCAAUGCCGCGUGCAGGAUGAAGGCCUUCGGGUUGUAAACUGCUUUUGUACGGAACGAAAAGCCCCGGGUUAAUACCCUGGGGUCAUGACGGUACCGUAAGAAUAAGCACCGGCUAACUACGUGCCAGCCGCCGCGGUAA
rnacentral:rRNA from 1 species